rnacentral:tRNA from 1 species
GGAGGGAUGGCCGAGUGGUUUAAGGCAGCGGUCUUGAAAACCGCCGACUGAAAGGUCCGUGGGUUCGAAUCCUACUCCCUCCGCCA